GAUGAACGCUAGCGGCAGGCCUAAUACAUGCAAGUCGAACGGUAAGCACCUGCUUGCAGGUGACACGAGUGGCGCACGGGUGCGUAACGCGUAUGCAACCUACCUUCAUCUGGAGAAUAGACCCCGAGAAAUCGGGAUUAAUACUCCAUAAUAAUAUAAAACGACAUCGUUUCUUAUUUAAAGCUCCGGCGGUUGAAGAUGGGCAUGCGUGACAUUAGAUAGUUGGUGAGGUAACGGCUCACCAAGUCAACGAUGUCUAGGGGUUCUGAGAGGAUUUUCCCCACACUGGUACUGAGACACGGACCAGACUCCUACGGGAGGCAGCAGUAAGGAAUAUUGGGCAAUGGACGAAAGUCUGAACCAGCCAUGCCGCGUGCAGGAAGACGGCCCUAUGGGUUGUAAACUGCUUUUAUACAGGAAGAAACCUUUCCACGUGUGGAGAGCUGACGGUACUGUAAGAAUAAGCACCGGCUAACUCCGUG
rnacentral:rRNA from 1 species